rnacentral:RNase_P_RNA from 1 species
UAAAGUAGUCGGAUAAUCGCGCUUGAGAUUAUCUUGAGUGAGGAAAGUCCGUGCAUCCAAGAACAGGCCGCCGGAGAAACUCCGGGCGAUGUGAGUCGGCGGAUAGUGCCACAGAAAUGUAGACUGCCAAUGGAUUAUUUAUAAUCACAGGCGAUGGUGCAACGGUGAGUUAAGAGCUUCACCAGUGAUAUCGGAAGGUAUCAGCUAGGUAAACCCCGGUCGGAUGCAAGAUUGACACGAAGGAUAAGGUUGUUCGCCAUCUUCGGAAAAAUCGCUAGAGAUUAGGAGCAAUCCUAAUACCAGACAGAUGAUUAUCUAUAAACAGAACACGGCUUACGGACUACUUUAUUUU